CUGCAUUUAUAAGUAGUCUGGCCAGUUUAAAAGCUACAGUAUGAAACCACCAGAGUUUGUUUGGGAUUUAAUCCAUUCUGUUUUCUAGGCUUACUCGUUAUCUCACUGGGUAAACUGCAGAGUUGGGAGUAAGACACACGUGCAAGUCACAAAGUCACACAACACACCUGAGAUCAUGGACCGCUGGCCAUUCUGGCCCAUUCUGGUCCUCAUCUGCUUUGUAAAUCCGCCUGGAAUAUGUGAUGGCGGGACACAAACAUCAUUCACCAUUGACUGGGUAAAGCUGACCCUCCUUCCUGGAGGCACAGUGGCGAGUGGCAGCAACCUGACGCUCCGCUGUGAAGUCAAGAUCAGCUACAGUUCCUCACAACUCAUUCACACUCUGAAGUUCCUGUUGGAUGGGACAGUGAUCUACUCCAAAAACACCAGUGAAACUUUGGUAGAGUACAGACUUAGCCCAGCGAGGGCUUCUCACUCAGGAAUAUACAAAUGCAAAGUCCAAAUUUUGUCAAAGGAGAAGAGCAGCGAGUCUCAGACACUCGCUGUAACAGGCUUGCAGACUCCACUGCUUAAAGUACAGCCUACUACUCUGAAUGAAGGUGAUGGAGUUACAGCUACAUGCAGUGCUCCAGAGGAGACUGGUGGUCUUUUCGCCAUCUUCUACAAAAACAAUGAUAUUUUCUAUCAAACCCGUAGCAAUACCAAUUCAGCAACUAUUUCUGAAAAGAUUCAGGAACCAGGAAACUUCUCCCUUCACUGUAACUACAGGCUAUUGCUGUAUCCCUCUGUAAACCUUUCCAACAACAGCAACAAUGUGAGCAUCUAUGUGCAAGAGAUUGAGAUAACACCUUCGAUAAGAAUUUCCCCUAAAUCUGUUGUCGUGGAGGGGGACCGGGUACAAAUUGACUGCAAAGUUUCAUAUAACUCCCAAAGUGACAUUGAAGUCUUCCUGACCAAAGACAGUAUGUUACAUAAAGACAGAAGGUCAUUCAGUCACAGCUUUGUGGUAACAGCAAAUGACUCUGGAACAUAUAUAUGUAAAUCUGAAAAAGGCAACGUUCAGAAGAGCGCUCAGGCCCAGCUGAAGGUAGAAGAGUUGUUUUCAUGUCCCAAUCUAAGCGUGACUCCAGAGCAUGUGUUCGAAGGACAACACUUCAAUCUGAGCUGUAGCUCUCAAGCACAAAUUGAUACCAUAGAUAUGAAGUACAGGCUGUACAAAGACAAGAAGCAUCUAAGAGAUGGACAAGUCUUCGGCACUUUAGCAAGCAAAGCCAGCAGUGGAAGCUACUACUGUGAGGCCAAAGCUAAGGGCAUCACAAAAACAAGCAUGCCUUUGGUUAUUAAUGUUAAAGAGCUUGUUUCAACCCCAAUCAUUCGCACAGUUGGAAAGAUGAUCGUAGGGCAGCCAUUUCAGCUCCUGUGUGAGAGUGAACGGGGAACACUCCCUAUUACCUACACCUUACUUAAGUUUCAGGAGCAAGUGUCACAAGUGAUAAUGACUGGUCCUCAGCGUAGUGCUUUAUUCAACAUCUCCUCCAUCAGUCACAGAAAUGAAAGCAACAGCUUCGUCUGCCUGGCCGAGAACCAGGGGUCACGCUACAGCAAAUAUAGUUUAUCUCUCAACACACCAGUCAUAGAAAUGGUCUCCACACCAGAUUUGACUCUUAACACUAAGAGUAACGUGGUUACCGAAGGUGUAAAUCUCAGUCUCUACUGUAGUGUGCAGCAAGGAACAUUCCCAAUCACCUUUACCUGGUACCGCACUGGAGUUGUGAAGCCCUUGAACAUCAUACGAAUAAGCAAAAAACAAGGAAUUUACACCAUCAAAUCUAUAACGCGUGAUGACGAAGGACUAUACUACUGCCGGGCCUCCAACGAUGCUAAUGAGACAAGGAGUAGUGAUAAUGUCAAAAUCAAAGUGAGCUUAGCAGGAUGGAAGAAGGCUCUCAUUGGAGUGUCUUUUAUCUUAAUUUUGGUGCUCAUUGUCAUCAUUCUUGUCCUUUUCUUCAAGAAAGCACAUACUCCACAGAAAACUAAAAGAGCAGUCGAGUUGCCUGUAAAGUCUGUACAUGCUAAAUCUGGUGAUCCCAUGAGGGUGAGUCUGACGCUCGACUUUGAGGACAAUACUGCAGGCAAUGCAACUCCUGGAAUCAUGGGCCGGAAUGUGUGGAGUGAUCAUGUAUCAUGCUCAGAAUCUGAUGAAGAGAGUGAGAAUGAAAAGUCUAAGAUGUCUCAACACCCCGACGAGCCGCCCAUAACGAAUGUGGGCUCUGGAGAAGGUGAGCUUUACUGAGCUUGUCAUGCACAAUACAGACACAGUGAAUGGAGAUUACCAGAACAUCAAACAAGAUGAAACAGAGCAAGUGGAUACGGAUCUGGAGUACGUUCAGCUUAAAAACUGUGAGCCUGAGUAGUCUCUUGACUCUCUUCACUCGACACACCACGUAUCAUUCACGCGUAAUUUAUUCCACUUCCACUUCAGCUCCACCUGCCUGCCAGUUAGGAGAUCCUGCAUCUGUGUAUUGUACACAUUCUGUGCCAUUUCUUCAGGCAGGGUUAUUUUUGUAUAUGAUGUUGCACAAAUCAUUGUGUUGUGAUGUGGCACAGUUGUGUAGAUGAGAAUAAAGAGUCAAAGCUGCAA